rnacentral:rRNA from 1 species
UACGAAGGGUGCAAGCGUUAAUCGGAAUUACUGGGCGUAAAGCGCGCGUAGGUGGUUCGUUAAGUUGGAUGUGAAAGCCCCGGGCUCAACCUGGGAACUGCAUCCAAAACUGGCGAGCUAGAGUACGGUAGAGGUGGUGGAUUUCCUGUGUAGCGGUGAAAUGCGUAGAUAUAGGAAGGAACACCAGUGGCGAAGGCGACCACCUGGACUGAUACUGACAGCUGAGGUGCGAAAGCGUGGGGAGCAAACAGG